UGGGGAAUUUUGGACAAUGGACGAAAGUCUGNUCCAGCCAUGCCGCGUGCGGGAAGAAGGCCUUCGGGUUGUAAACCGCUUUUGUCAGGGAAGAAAUCCUUUGAGCUAAUACCUCGGGGGGAUGACGGUACCUGAAGAAUAAGCACCGGCUAACUACGUGCCAGCAGCCGCGGUAAUACGUAGGGUGCAAGCGUUAAUCGGAAUUACUGGGCGUAAAGCGUGCGCAGGCGGUUAUGUAAGACAGAGGUGAAAUCCCCGGGCUCAACCUGGGAACUGCCUUUGUGACUGCAUAGCUUGAGUGCGGCAGAGGGGGAUGGAAUUCCGCGUGUAGCAGUGAAAUGCGUAGAUAUGCGGAGGAACACCGAUGGCGAAGGCAAUCCCCUGGGCCUGCACUGACGCUCAUGCACGAAAGCGUGGGGAGCAAACAGGAUUAGAUACCCUGGUAGUCCACGCCCUAAACGAUGUCAACUGGUUGUUGGGAAGGUUCCUUCUCAGUAACGUAGCUAACGCGUGAAGUUGACCGCCUGGGGAGUACGGCCGCAAGGUUG
rnacentral:rRNA from 1 species